UGCGUAGGCGGUCGGGUAAGUCUGACGUGAAAUCUUCAAGCUUAACUUGGAAACUGCGUCGGAUACUAUUCGGCUCGAGGAAUGGAGGGGAGACUGGAAUACUUGGUGUAGCAGUGAAAUGCGUAGAUAUCAAGUGGAACACCAGUGGCGAAGGCGAGUCUCUGGACAUUUCCUGACGCUGAGGCACGAAAGCCAGGGAGGCAAACG
rnacentral:rRNA from 1 species